rnacentral:rRNA from 1 species
GAUGAACGCUAGCGAUAGGCUUAACACAUGCAAGUCGAGGGGCAGCGCGGAUAGCAAUACCUGUCGGCGACCGGCGCACGGGUGAGUAACGCGUAUGUAACCUGCCCGCAACAGGGGGAUAACCCGGCGAAAGUCGGACUAAUACCGCAUAAAACAGGGGUCCCGCAUGGGAAUAUUUGUUAAAGAUUUAUCGGUUGCGGAUGGGCAUGCGUACCAUUAGGUAGUUGGUGAGGUAACGGCUCACCAAGCCUUCGAUGGUUAGGGGUUCUGAGAGGAAGGUCCCCCACACUGGUACUGAGACACGGACCAGACUCCUACGGGAGGAAGCAGUGAGGAAUAUUGGUCAAUGGGCGAGAGCCUGAACCAGCCAAGUCGCGUGAAGGAGGACUGCCCUAUGGGUUGUAAACUUCUUUUACAAGGGAAUAAAAUGAGAUACGUGUAUUUUAUUGCAUGUACCUUGGGAAUAAGCAUCGGCUAACUCCGUG